rnacentral:tRNA from 1 species
UGGGUUGUGGCUCAGUGGUAGAGCACUUGUCUAGUAUGCUUGAGGCACUGAGUUCGUUCCCAGCACCACAU